GAAGAAGCCACUGGGGGGUUUUGAACAGAGCAGUGAUAUGAUCUGACAUGUUUUAAAAGGAUCACUGGAGGUGCCGUGUUGACCACAGAUUGCAGGGAAAACAAGGAGAGCUUGAUCCUGAUAAUGCCAACAUCAAAGGUGAGUGGAGAAUGAGAAUUCUAUAAGGACGCUAAGGAGAAGCAGCUGAGAAGGACGAAGACCUGAGAGGGAGGAGUCAAGAAGCCAAGGCAGGCAGAAGUUUGCAAAGGAAGGAGCCAUCGGCAGAGUCAAGUGCUUCCAAGAAGUCAGGAUCACUGGAGGUGCCGUGUUGACCACAGAUUGCAGGGAAAACAAGGAGAGCUUGAUCCUGAUAAUGCCAACAUCAAAGCCUCCUGUGGUUUCGAUGUUCAGCUCUGGCACCCAAGCGCUCCAUCUGCCCUGCUCUCUGCGUCUAGACCCAGCUCUCCAACUGUGACUGGGCACAUGUGAGGGCCAUCUUACUCUAGGAUGGCAGGGCUCAACAGGACACGGGUAACCUCUAGUCCAAACGCCGCAUUCCCAGGUGAGGAGACAAAGGCCCAGAGAGGGGACACACAGCAAGUCAGCAGGCAGAGGACGGCGUGGCCCUACCCCCUCCUCCUACAACACACACUGAUCAGUCACAGAGAAAUGAGGAAAACGAUGCAUGACUUGACUCUUCCAACAUCCUGUCAUCAACGUUUCUAAGACCCUAGAAGGAAAGAGAGAAAAGGAUGAGAGGAAAGAAGCCUGCUCUGUCACAAUCAACUAUGUGGUAAAUGGAAG